rnacentral:rRNA from 1 species
CCUACGGGAGGCAGCAGUGGGGAAUAUUGGGCAAUGGGCGCAAGCCUGACCCAGCAACGCCGCGUGAAGGAAGAAGGCUUUCGGGUUGUAAACUUCUUUUGACAGGGAAGAGCAGAAGACGGUACCUGUCGAAUAAGCCACGGCUAACUACGUGCCAGCAGCCGCGGUAAUACGUAGGUGGCAAGCGUUGUCCGGAUUUACUGGGUGUAAAGGGCGUGUAGCCGGGCUGACAAGUCAGAUGUGAAAUCCGGGGGCUCAACCCCCGAACUGCAUUUGAAACUGUAUAGCUUGAGUACUGGAGAGGCAGGCGGAAUUCCUGGUGUAGCGGUGAAAUGCGUAGAUAUUAGGAGGAACACCAGUGGCGAAGGCGGCCUGCUGGACAGAAACUGACGUUGAGGCUCGAAAGCGUGGGGAGCAAACAGGAUUAGAUACCCGUGUAGUC